UACAGAGGUCCCAAGCGUUGUUCGGAUUCACUGGGCGUAAAGGGUGCGUAGGCGGUGAGGUAAGUUUGAUGUGAAAUCUCUGGGCUUAACCCAGAAAUGGCAUUGAAUACUAUCUUGCUUGAGAGUCGGAGGGGGGACUGGAAUACUUGGUGUAGCAGUGAAAUGCGUAGAUAUCUGGAGGAACACCGGUGGCGAAGGCGGCAUCCUGGACCGACACUGACGCUGAGGAGCGAAAGCCAGGGGAGCAAACGGG
rnacentral:rRNA from 1 species